UGGGACUCAUGUAUUCCAGUAUCCAGAUCCC
rnacentral:piRNA from 1 species